rnacentral:lncRNA from 10 species
CGGGGCAGAAGAGCUUCCGGUUCCUGCUGUCAAUAAGACGUGGACCUGCGAGCCGGGGCAAAAGGGCUUCCGGUCUGCGGGAAACUGGAGGCUAGCGGUGGGCGUGGACCGUCGAGGUGACUGGCGGUUGUCGGAUCUGCUGUUGUUUGCUGACCAGGCAGCCGUAGGAAGACUUGACUGAGCCAGGCUCAGGGGAUGUGCCAGGCUCUGGGGAUACUAUGAAAGCUAAAAGAUACACAAUCCCAGCUGUCAUGGAGCAAAGAGUUUACGAGAGAGAGACUGAUGCUAAUCAAAGAAGGACACUAACAAAUGAACCAUUGUAUAGCUUUGCCAAGGACCGUGAAGGAGAGAGACACAGCUCUGUGAAGGGGCUUUGAUGUAGGGAGGCAGCAGACGUGCAGCUGAAGCUGUCUUGGAGCCUCUAGACCAGCCCAUCCACCUGCUGAAUACCAGU